AAUGGUGAUAGGUUAGCAUGUCUUGGGGCUAUGAUGCUAACCUCCCCUGUUAUUGGUAAUGGUGAUAGGUUAGCAUGUCUCGGGGCUAUGAUGCUAAUCUCCCCUGUUAUUGGUAUUUGUGAUAGGUUAGCAUGUCUCGGGGCUAUGAUGCUAAUCUCCCCUGUUAUUGGUAACGGUGAUAGGUUAGCAUGUCUCGGGGCUAUGAUGCUAACCUCCCCUGUUAUUGGUAAUGGUGAUAGGUUAGCAUGUCUCGGGGCUAUGAUGCUAAUCUCCCCUGUUAUUGGUAUUUGUGAUAGGUUAGCAUGUCUCGGGGCUAUGAUGCUAACCUCCCCUGUUAUUGGUAAUGGUGAUAGGUUAGCAUGUCUCGGGGCUAUGAUGCUAACCUCCCCUGUUAUUGGUAAUGGUGAUAGGUUAGCAUGUCUUGGGGCUAUGAUAUUACAUGCUAAUCUCCCCUGUUAUUGUAAUGGUGAUAGGUUAGCAUGUCUUGGGGCUAUGCUAUUACAUGCUAAUCUCCCCUGUUAUUGGUAAUGGUGAUAGGUUAGCAUGUCUUGGGGCUAUGAUGCUAACC